rnacentral:rRNA from 1 species
UACGUAGGGUGCGAGCGUUAAUCGGAAUUACUGGGCGUAAAGCGUGCGUAGGCGGUUCGUUAAGUUCGUUGUGAAAGCCCCGGGCUCAACCUGGGAAUGGCAAUGGAAACUGGCGGGCUGGAGUAUGGCAGAGGGGGGUGGAAUUCCGCGUGUAGCAGUGAAAUGCGUAGAGAUGCGGAGGAACACCGAUGGCGAAGGCAGCCCCCUGGGCUAAUACUGACGCUCAGGCACGAAAGCGUGGGGAGCAAACAGG